UACUAAGAAGAUAUACAAAUGGCUAGU
rnacentral:piRNA from 1 species